rnacentral:rRNA from 1 species
CGGUGCGCCUUAUGCAUGCAAGUCGAGCGAAGCUUUUCAGUAGUUUACUACAGAAAAUGACUGAGCGGCGAACGGGUGAGUAACGCGUGAGCAAUCUACCUUAGUUACAGGGAUAGCCCGAGGAAACUCGGAUUAAUACCUGAUAUUCUUUACAUUUCGCAUGAAAUCAAAAGGAAAGGUCAGCCGAACUAAGAUGAGCUCGCGUUCUAUCAGCUAGUUGGUGAGGUAAAAGCUCACCAAGGCAACGACGGAUAGCUGGUCUGAGAGGACGAUCAGCCACACUGGGACUGAGACACGGCCCAGACUCCUACGGGAGGCUGCAGCAGGGAAUAUUGCGCAAUGAGCGAAAGCUUGACGCAGCGACACCGCGUGUGGGAUGACGGAUCUAGGUUUGUAAACCACUUUCAGGAGGGAAGAAAAUGACGGUACCUCCACAAGA